rnacentral:rRNA from 1 species
CAGCCGCCGCGGUAACACGAAGGGUGCAAGCGUUACUCGGAAUUACUGGGCGUAAAGCGUGCGUAGGUGGUGGUUUAAGUCCGUUGUGAAAGCCCUGGGCUCAACCUGGGAAUUGCAGUGGAUACUGGAUCACUAGAGUGUGGUAGAGGAUAGUGGAAUUUCCGGUGUAGCAGUGAAAUGCGUAGAGAUCGGAAGGAACAUCUGUGGCGAAGGCGACUAUCUGGGCCAACACUGACACUGAGGCACGAAAGCGUGGGGAGCAAACAGGAUUAGAUACCCCAGUAGUCCCUGUCUCUUAUAC